AUGGGGGUGGGAACAGACUGCAGCCCGGGGGGACCACGGUGGGGCUGGGGAGAGGCGUGGGAGAAACAGCUCAGUGGAGGUGGCACUGGACAUGUCCCUCACAAAACCCCUGCAGGUUCAGCACCAGGGCUGCGGGCGCUGCUGAGCUGGGGACAGUGGUCAGAGCGGCGUGGCGAUGACAUGGGGCAAGGGGGAGGCGGGCACCUGCCACUUGGCCCCUGCCCUGGUUCCCGGUGGACAGAGGCCGCGGAGGGCGGAGGAGAAGGGAAUCCAGCCCGCCGCGGCCACUGGGCCAUGCUGACUGCCCCGCGCCUCGCCGGCGGGGUGGGCUGCGGAGGGUCUGGGGGCCUGCACCGGCGCCCCGGGUGUCACCACGCCCCGUCUGCUCUUCCCGCAGAGAUCAUGGAGGAGCACAUCCUGGAGAACAGCUUCUGUCUGGAGGGUCGGCACCGGGCGCGGGCGAGGGGCUGCCGCGCCUGGUGUCCCGCGGGCGGCCUCGCUGGGCACCGUCACCCUGGGCGCCGCCGCCGCCCUGGGGCUGCCCGCUGGGCCGGCGGAUGGCGCCCGCCCCGGGCCCCGGCCCACGGCCACACCUGGUCAUCGCGGAGCAGCCCAAGAAGUGCGGCAUGCGCUUCCGCCACGAGUGCGAGGGCGACUCUGCUGGCAGCAUCCUGGGCGAGAGCAGCACGGAGGCCAGCAAGACGCUGCCCGCCAUCGAGCUGGGUCCCUGAAGAAUCACCAGGAGGUGGACAUGAACGUGGUGAGGAUCUGCUUCCAGGCCUUGAGACCAGGACCAGCAGGGGCAGAUGCGCCACAUGGACCCCGUGCUCUCCGAGCCCGUCUACGACAAGAGUGAGUGGCAGCCGCUGUCCCGGGGCCCAUGCGCAGGGACGGACACACCGGCACUGGCCGGUUCCUAGAAAUACUUACUUAGUUCUUUAAGAAGUAGAAUGAGGGAGAGGGAGGGAGGGAGGGAGAGAUCUGUCUGUGGGUUCACUCCGCAUAUGGCUGCAAGAGCCAGGGCUGGGCCAGGCGGGUCUCCAGCGUGGGUGACAGGGGCCCCAUACAGGUCUCCUAUGUGGGUGCAGGGACCCCAUCUAGGUCUCCUGUGUGGGUGCAGGGACCCCAUCUAGGUCUCCAUCCAGGUCUCCCGUGUGGGUGCAGGGGGUUCCAUCCAGGUCUCCCGUGUGGGUAGCAGGGGCCCCAUUUGGGUCUCCCUUGUGAGUGCAGGGGCCCAGGCACUGG
rnacentral:lncRNA from 1 species